rnacentral:lncRNA from 1 species
CCGCCUCGCUCCUCUCCAGCCUGCUCCACCAACCCGGGCCUCGGCCUGCUAAGGUGAGCAACUCCGCCCCUAUUCCGCGCCCGGGGCACAAUAUAGACGUGUUGCCCCCAUGUUGUGUUAAGCUCGAAGCUCCAGAUUUGGCCCGUAACUGUUUUAUUAAGUUCCAUGAAUUUAUUCAUUUAACGAGUGCAUUAAUAAUUACAGAAAUAUGCCAUAUCUUGCAUUGCCCGUAUUUAAUAAAACGUACAUCGGAUUGAAAUGAAUUAGAUACGUAAAAUGAUCAGAAUUAUGUGUAGUAAUAACAUGUCACUUCCACACAUGCUAAAAAUACCUACACUUGCUGUUUGCAUUGUUUUGAGUGAUGCCAUAUUAAAAUAAUUUAAUUCAUAACAAAAUAACUGUGCAUCGGAUUUAAAAACUUUAUACAAGAAAAUGCUUAGAAUUUUGUGUAGUUUCACAAUAUCCAACUUUCAACCGUGUUUAAAAUGUUUAAUUUUUUCCUUUUCAUUUAUUUUGCACAUAUGCCAUGUUUAAACGGUUUAAUUCAUAACUAAAUAACCAAACGGUUUAAUUCAUAACUAAAUAACCGUAACUCUGAUUAAAAUGUUUGAUAUGUGUAACUUGACUAGAAAAAUGUGUAGAAUAACAUGAUGACAUUUAUUUUGUUGUUUAAUAAUUUUAAAAUUGUGUUAUAGGCAAAACAGUACCAAAAUCUUAAUUUGCAGGUGGGGACUUUCUGGAAUUGUUAUUCGUUGUUCCGGCCUGAGUUAAACUUUCCUAGACUUAUAUGUAGUUCCAUAAUAUUUUGCGGCACCCAUGAUUUAAAAUGCUUGUGGUUGUCAUUUGCAUACAUUUUGCAUCCACGUCAUAUUAUCUUGUGUGGGUCAUAUCUUUUAGACUGUAGUUUCAUUUUAGAUGAUCUAUAUAUGUGAAUCGACUAAAAUGACGAGUAGAAUCACAUGGUCCACUUCAUUUUCCUGUUUAGUAAAUAUAAAACAUGAUUAAUUCAGAUCUGGACCAAUUUCAAAAUUAACUUGUGGGGUCGCUUUGAAAAUACUAUAUGUUACUUCCGACCUAAUUUUAAAUGCCUAGAUAGUGUAGUUUAUUUAUGUUUCACGUCUUGCCAUGUUUAACAACAUUUGAUAUUGUCAUUUACCUAAACGGGAGUGAACUAAGUAAUUUAAAUAUGGAGUUUCGUCGACAUAUUGAGCUGCACUUAAUGCGUAGGAGUUGAUUGUGGUGCUUGCCAUGCCAUGCAUUAAUAAUUGGACAUGCAACAUAAUUGCUUGCACAUCGUGCCAUGCAUAUGUUGUGGGUAUUUAUUGUGUAUUGAUUGUUAUUUCUAGAUUGUUUCUUCUCGAUAGAAUUCCAAACCACGUUGGACUGUGAGGAUUCCUUCGACUAUGUUGGUUCGUUUACUUCACAGAUUUGUUCUUCUUCCAAGCGGGAUGUCAGGCAAGAUGAUCAUUUCCCUAGAUACCACUACUAUAAUUUCCAUGCUAGUUGUCUUGUUUUUUAAGGUAUGUCUCGCUGCCUACCACCUGUUAUGCUCGCCAACAUUUCCAUGAGAAGCCUCUAACCCCCUCCACAUCCCAGCAAACC